rnacentral:misc_RNA from 1 species
AACGCACAUUGCGCCCUUUGGUAUUCCGAAGGGCAUGCCUGUUCGAGCGUCAUUGCACCCCUCAAGCAUUGCUUGGUAUUGGGCUUCGCCCCUGUGGCGGGCCUGGAAUUCAGUGGCGGUCCAUCGAGUCUUCAUGCGUAGCAAGAUUUUCACGAUCCCUCUCUGGAAUGUUCCUGCUGCGUGCCGGCCAGAUAACCACAAUGUCUUCCAAUGAUUGACCUCGGAUCAGGUAGGGAUACCCGCUGAACUUAA